GACGAACGCUGGCGGCGUGCCUAAUACAUGCAAGUAGAACGCUGAAGGAGGAGCUUGCUCUUCUGGACGAGUUGCGAACGGGUGAGUAACGCGUAGGUAACCUGCCUGGUAGUGGGGGAUAACUAUUGGAAACGAUAGCUAAUACCGCAUAAUAACAGUUGUUGCAUGACAACUGUUUGAAAGGUGCAAUUGCAUCACUACCAGAUGGACCUGCGUUGUAUUAGCUAGUUGGUGGGGUAACGGCUCACCAAGGCGACGAUACAUAGCCGACCUGAGAGGGUGAUCGGCCACACUGGGACUGAGACACGGCCCAGACUCCUACGGGAGGCAGCAGUAGGGAAUCUUCGGCAAUGGACGAAAGUCUGACCGAGCAACGCCGCGUGAGCGAAGAAGGUUUUCGGAUCGUAAAGCUCUGUUGUAAGAGAAGAACGAGUGUGAGAGUGGAAAG
rnacentral:rRNA from 1 species